ensembl:lncRNA
AUCAUGAUCACUGUCCUAUUCGUUUGGUUCACUUGACGUCACUUGCGCCGCCAUCUUGACGACCGAUCCCACCCACUGACCCACUGAUUUCAGUGGUAACUCAGUCAGCACCAACAACAACACCUACGACCACAAUCUAAACAAUGAGGAUGCGCUCUUUUAUUCUCUUCAGUGCAGGUAAGGAAAGGUUCUGAAAGAUGGCAUAUCCAUGUAGCUUAUGAAUAAAAUGCAUACAAAAAACGUUGACAUAUGACCCACUAUGAUCUGCUCCAUAUACCCAAUGUUGACAACGUCCCAGCCAAAGAGUUUUGGUAUUAAUACCUCAUUCAUUGUCCAAAAUAAUCCAUAAUAAUUCAAAUUGGGUUUUGUUGUGGGUACAAAAUGAAUCUUGAAGAAAACGCGUCCCCGGCGAAUGACUGAUUUCAACGAUCAAUGAUAGUAACCCACCACAAACUGUUCACAAGAAGUCACAAAUAUAUAGUACUAAAAUUUGCCAUUAUCAGAUAAAGAUUAUUGGUGGCCAAGGUCCUCACUUUAGCGUCCUUCACCCAUCGAGCCACAGCAUAUUGGUAGGCAUCAGUGCUCUUAAAUGCUUUCAAGAGCGACGACCAAUAAAAAACAACAGUUGUUACCCCUUAUGUUUUUUUUCAUGACGACCAAUAAAAAAACAACAUGUUACCCCUUAUGUUUUUUUCAUGACGACCGAUAAAAAACGACAGUGUUACCCCUUAUGUUUCAUUUGAUAAAAACAACAGUUUUACCCCUUGUGUUUAUUUUCAUGACGACCAAUAAAAAACAACAGUGUUACCCCUUAUGUUUAUUUUCAUGAC